AAUAAAGUGCCUGAGUAAAGGAUUAAAUUGUAAAUUUAAAAACAGCGACAAACCGUUCUUUAUUA
rnacentral:tRNA from 1 species